AUGGCUCUGGGCUGGAGCAAGGCUUUCCUUAGAGAAGCCAGUCCCCUUCCCCUUGCCCCCGCACUGCUGUCCCCCUGGGCCACGCUGCCCCCACAGCCUCUGCCUGCUGUGUGGAGGCAACGAGGGGCGGCCUGCUGCUGGUGGAGGCCGGGGGAGCGGCUGCUCUGGCUAGGAGUGGGACAAUUAAUGUCCUCCGUCAGGGCGGCAAGUCUCCAGACUUUGAGAAACAUCCCGGGGUUGGGCCGUGCCUGCCUGUUCCUGCAGUGGCUGAAAUACAGCCUUAUCCUGAGGGAAAUGGCGGUGAGAGGCGGCUGCCGGCUGGGAAAGGGGGGAGGCCUUGUGGCUGCGGAGAGCAGGAGCUGCUGCCGGCUGCUGUGGUGCGAAACGAAGAAGCACUUGUGUCCCAACUUCUUCAGGAGCUUAAAAAGACCUUCCUCUUGCUUCAGAGAUAAGAUUUCAGUGUAUGAAGAUCCUACUGGUGAUGCAAUUUUUCUGAUAAAUUCCAUGAGAGGGGUGAUUUAGGUGCUGAAACACAGCUGUGGUGCCGCAUAGGAUGCCUGAUGCACCAGGACACCCCUGCUGGGCCAGCAGCACCGGGCUGGCAGUAACCCCGUGCCUUCUGGAGUGGUAGGUGGGAUACAUAAGGUAUUUGAUGUGGCACUGGCUGCGUGUAUUCAGGCAAGCUCAUUCCACCCUAAAUGUCAUUAAAUUAAGGUCUUGAUUAAAUCAGAGUCCAGCUAGAUGCCAGAAGUGUCAAAAUCACUAGGAAAAGCUUUCUGGUCUGAGCUAUACUAUAGUUGCUUCUGGGCAGUACUGUUUUGCUAAAAAUCUUUCUAGGGGGCUCUGUGUGUGCUGUGUAAGGUCUCUACAGGGAUGCGCAUGUGUGCUGCCUAAGGCUUCAGUUCACAAAUGAAUUCACAACUCUAGGAUUUUAAUUUGACACAUAGUCACAGACUUGAGAUAUUGCCUUUAAAAGGGGUCUCUGAGGAGGAACUUGUUUUCAUUUCCAUUUACAGAAUCAGAAUUAAUGAACUGAAAGUGUUGGUAGGCAUUAAUGAAAGGUGCUUCUGUUAGAGUGGGAAAAAAAAUUGCAUAACUCCAAUGCAGAAGGAUAAUUCUUUAAUUUUAACUUUCCAGAGGAAUUUACGAAGCUGUUACUCUGUUAUAUGUACUGUAUGGAAUGCCUUCCUGCAGAUGCUGUACACGCAAAUAAGAAAAUGAGGUCCCUGCUUACACAAAAAGUAAGCAACAUGUAAAUAAAAACUGGGGGAAGGGUGCA
rnacentral:lncRNA from 1 species